UCCAGUCAGCCCAUAGUUUUUAGUCUUUAAUGACAGCGACGUGACAUUUCUUUUUACUUCUGUAUUGUUGUAAGUAAAAUAUCGUAUUAAUAUCAUAAUCGCUACAUUAUGUUAAUCGACUAACCCUCGCGUCAAAACUGCUCGUCAAAACCCCCUUUUUACUACGGAGGAGACGACUCGCGCCAUGUCCCGCCGACUGGAAUUCUAGCACGAUUCCUGAGCGCGGUGAAAAGAAGAUGGACCAUUUUCUGUGUUCACCAUUCAGGCAGAAGACUCUACCAUUGCAUUCACUGCAGAAAGCUAAAUCCUCAUUUGGAUUCUUCCUCUCUAUGGAUCUCAUCGUCUUUUGACAGGAUUUAGGAUAU